UAAGAUAUAGCUAGGUGUAGCUAUUUAUGUGAAAAGGCUUUUAGGAAUGAAACUUAUUUUCCAAGCAUGAUAAUCUUAAUGGAUUGGCUUUACAAUGGGAAUUACCUUUGGGAUAGGUUUGUAAAUUGGAAUAGGCUUGUAAAUUGGAAUUACCUUUGGAAUAGGCUUGUAAAUUGGAACAGGCUUGUAAAUUGGAAUUACCUUUGGAAUAGGCUUGUAAAUUGGAAUUACCUUUGGAAUAGGCUUGUAAAUGGGAAUUGGUUUGUGGAUUGGCUUAUAGAUUGGAACGUAUUUUGGUAUAGGUUUGUAAUAUGGAAUAUCUUUGUGAAUAGGUUUAUAAAAUGGAAUUGGUUUCUUGAAAAUUGGUUUUUG
rnacentral:lncRNA from 1 species